rnacentral:rRNA from 1 species
AUUCCAGCUCCAAUAGCGUAUAUUUAAGUUGUUGCAGUUAAAAAGCUCGUAGUUGGAUUUCGGGUGAGGAUGACCGGUCUGCCGUUGCGGUACGCACUGGACGUUUUCAUCUUGUUGUCGGGGACGCGCUUCUGGGCUUCACUGUUCGGGACGCGGAGUCGGCGCUGUUACUUUGAAAAAAUUAGAGUGUUCAAAGCAGGCAAUCGCUCUGAAUACAUUAGCAUGGAAUAACGCUAUAGGACUCUGGUCCUAUUGUGUUGGUCUUCGGGACCGCAGUAAUGAUUAAUAGGGAUAGUUGGGGGCAUUAGUAUUUAAUUGUCAGAGGUGGAAUUCUCGGAUUUGUUAAAGACUAACUAAUGCGAAAGCAUUUGCCAAGGAUGUUUUCAUUA